CAAUUGGCCAAAGUCAGUAAAAUCCUCAUUGCCAUGGAAAAGGGAAGACUGCCAGAGCUGCAAGGGGAAGGACUAGAUGACAUAAUCAUAAACCCACAAGAUGAGGUAGACAUGUCCAGUGGUGUUUCCAGCGAUGAGGAGGGGUUUUCUGGCCGACAUCAGACCCAGAACAAAAUGAAUCAAGGAUCCUCUUCAAUGCCGCAUUCCAAGGAUGACAACCUGAUUGAUUCUUCCAGUGAUGAGAUGGAGUAUGCUGACCUGCGUGCGAUGCACAGUGAGAGGACUCAAGGUGUAGGGCGGAAACGGUCCCAGAAAAACCUUGAGAAAAGUCCUGAUUCCACCCUACAAACCACCAUGAGCCACACAAAACCAAGUGCAGAUGUCAACUUGAGGAGGAAGUGGGAGACUGCUGAAGUCAAAGCAAUUGAAAGACAAUUAAUGGACCACAUCAGGGGAUGUAAAGUUCCUGGAAAGAGGCAAUGCAUGUCUUGUCUGUUGAGCGAACCGGUAGCACUGAAAAGUCGGAAUUGGUCGAGCAUAAAGUACUACGUCAACAACCGUAUUGUUGCCCUGAAACGAAAAAUGCGCCAG
ensembl:lncRNA